rnacentral:lncRNA from 1 species
GAGGAAGAGGUGUUUAGGAAUUCAAAAUUUUUGAGAAAAGAGAUGAUUGAGACCCAUGAUUUUGGAGAGAGAAAUUUUUUUUAAGUUGUUUAAACGGUGUUUUACUUUACAAUCAUAUUAAAUUAAAUUCAUAUUAAUUAUCAUCUUUACUCCACUAUUUAUUAUUUUGACGAUAAUUUAUUAUAUGAUUUCUUAUUGCAUAAAUUCAUCAAAAUUUUGAAAUCAAAUUUGAUUUUCUGGUGAUUAAUUCAUCUUGGUUGUGAGUGUUGGAUAUGAUGAAUGUGUAUUCUCUAAUUGACUAGAAUUCGUCAAAAUUAUUUUCAAUUGUGAGAUUGCCAAAUUUAGGGGGAGUUUGAAAUAAAAAAAAAAAAGAGGGAGAAAAAAAAACUCCUAUGUUUAAAAGAUGUGGAAAGAGUUACAUCCUAAAAGGAGUGUGAAAACUACCACCACAUGUAGGAAAGAGCUACCACCCCGGUCGUCCGGCAAGUGUGUGAAGCUACCACAUGAAAAUUAAAUUGAUUAAACCGAAAAAAAAUUGAAAAGAAACAAUUGAAUAUUUUAGAAUUUUUCGGAGUAAUAAGGUGUUAGUUUGAAAAAGAUGCUCAAAGAGCCACCCCCGGUACCAUAUUAGUUAAAUCUCUAUUUUGAAUGUGUUACGACAAAUUCGUGUCAAUUUUUGUUGAAUUUCUAAAAAUUAUUUUUCAUCAACUUACAUCUUGAUGGUUUUGAAUCAUUAAAUUAUUUUUGAUAAUGAAAUUUUGAUGUUUUGAUGUAUUUUGAAAUUUUAUAAUAUCUUAUUGUCAUUAUAAUGAUUCUUGGAGUAAAAGCCUUAAAUUAUUUAAAAUUAAUUUAAUUUGAUGGAUUUUUAAAGCAAAUUUUUCGAAAUCUGAGAUUCUUUGUC